rnacentral:rRNA from 1 species
CCUACGGGAGGCAGCAGUAGGGAAUAUUGGCAAUGGGCGAAAGCCUGACCCAGCGACGCCGCGUGCGGGAUGAAGGCCUUCGGGUUGUAAACCGCUUUCAGCAGGGAAGAAGCGAAAGUGACGGUACCUGCAGAAGAAGCACCGGCUAACUAUGUGCCAGCAGCCGCGGUAAUACAUAGGGUGCAAGCGUUGUCCGGAAUUAUUGGGCGUAUAGAGCUCGUAGGUGGUUCGUUACGUCGGAUGUGAAAACCUGAGGCUCAACCUCAGGCCUGCAUUCGAUACGGGCGAACUGGAGUGUGGUAGGGGAGACUGGAAUUCCUGGUGUAGCGGUGGAAUGCGCAGAUAUCAGGAGGAACACCAAUGGCGAAGGCAGGUCUCUGGGCCACUACUGACACUGAGGAGCGAAAGCGUGGGGAGCAAACAGGAUUAGAUACCCUGGUAGUCCACGCUGUAAACGGUGGGCACUAGUUGUGGGAACCUUCCACGGUUUCUGCGACGUAGCAAACGCAUUAAGUGCCCCGCCUGGGGAGUACGAUCGCAAGAUUAAAACUCAAAGGAAUUGACGG